GAGACUCUGCCGACCUGGAUGGAACUGAGACCCACCGUGCCACAUGCAUGAGUUAUAUCUUAUCCUUCCAGCCUCACUAUAUUCCUGAGGGUUAAAAGGUGAGGCUGA